rnacentral:rRNA from 1 species
UACGGAGGAUCCAAGCGUUAUCCGGAUUUAUUGGGUUUAAAGGGUGCGCAGGCGGACUGGUAGUCAGCGGUGAAAUCUCUCAGCUUAACUGAGGAACUGCCGUUGAUACUGCCAAUCUCGAGUUUAGACGGCGUAGGCGGAAUAUGUCAAGUAGCGGUGAAAUGCGUAGAUAUGACAUAGAACACCGAUAGGGUAGCCAGCUUACGAGGCUAAUACUGACGCUCAAGCACGAAAGCGUGGGGAUC